rnacentral:rRNA from 1 species
UGGCCAAGGUCCGAGCGGAGAGAGGUAGCUUGCUACUGAUCUUAGCGGCGGACGGGUGAGUAAUGCUUAGGAAUCUGCCUAUUAGUGGGGGACAACAUUUCGAAAGGAAUGCUAAUACCGCAUACGUCCUACGGGAGAAAGCAGGGGAUCUUCGGACCUUGCGCUAAUAGAUGAGCCUAAGUCGGAUUAGCUAGUUGGUGGGGUAAAGGCCUACCAAGGCGACGAUCUGUAGCGGGUCUGAGAGGAUGAUCCGCCACACUGGGACUGAGACACGGCCCAGACUCCUACGGGAGGCAGCAGUGGGGAAUAUUGGACAAUGGGCGCAAGCCUGAUCCAGCCAUGCCGCGUGUGUGAAGAAGGCCUUAUGGUUGUAAAGCACUUUAAGCGAGGAGGAGGCUACUUUAGUUAAUACCUAGAGAUAGUGGACGUUACUCGCAGAAUAAGCACCGGCUAACUCUGUGCCAGCAGCCGCGGUAAUACAGAGGGUGCAAGCGUUAAUCGGAUUUACUGGGCGUAAAGCGCGCGUAGGCGGCUAAUUAAGUCAAAUGUGAAAUCCCCGAGCUUAACUUGGGAAUUGCAUUCGAUACUGGUUAGCUAGAGUGUGGGAGAGGAUGGUAGAAUUCCAGGUGUAGCGGUGAAAUGCGUAGAGAUCUGGAGGAAUACCGAUGGCGAAGGCAGCCAUCUGGCCUAACACUGACGCUGAGGUGCGAAAGCAUGGGGAGCAAACAGGAUUAGAUACCUUGGGUAGUCCCAGUU